UCUUUUUUGUCUAAAAUUGUAGGCAUCUCUCCUUGAUCUGCUAGCUGCCUGCCCCCUGAAUACACUGUGAAAAAGUUAGGUCUCGGGGGACAACACAGGGGUUGUAACCGUCAAACAAACCCUAG